UACGUAGGGGGCUAGCGUUGUCCGGAAUCAUUGGGCGUAAAGAGCGCGUAGGCGGCCCGGUAAGUCCGCUGUGAAAGUCAAAGGCUCAACCUUUGAAUGUCAGCGGAUACUGCCGGGCUAGAGUCCGGAAGAGGCGAGUGGAACUCCUGGUGUAGCGGUGGAAUGCGCAGAUAUCAGGAAGAACACCAAUGGCGAAGGCAGCUCUCUGGGACGGUACUGACGCUGAGACGCGAAAGCGUGGGGAGCGAACAGG
rnacentral:rRNA from 1 species